UACGGAGGAUGCGAGCGUUAUCCGGAUUUAUUGGGUUUAAAGGGUGCGCAGGCGGCACGGCAAGCCGGCGGUCAAAUCGCGGGGCUCAACCCCGCCCAGCCGUCGGAACUGCCGGGCUAGAGUGGGCGAGAAGUGCGCGGAAUGCGUGGUGUAGCGGUGAAAUGCAUAGAUAUCACGCAGAACUCCGAUUGCGAAGGCAGCGCACCGGCGCCCUACUGACGCUCAGGCACUAAAGCGUGGGUAUCGAACAGG
rnacentral:rRNA from 1 species